CUCGUAGGCGGCCAACUAAGUCAGACGUGAAAUCCCUCGGCUUAACCGGGGAACUGCGUCUGAUACUGGAUGGCUUGAGUUUGGGAGAGGGAUGCGGAAUUCCAGGUGUAGCGGUGAAAUGCGUAGAUAUCUGGAGGAACACCGGUGGCGAAGGCGGCAUCCUGGACCAACACUGACGCUGAGUGAGCGAAAGCCAGGGAGCAAACG
rnacentral:rRNA from 1 species